UGGGGAAUUGUUCGCAAUGGGCGCAAGCCUGACGACGCAACGCCGCGUGGAGGAUGAAGACCUUCGGGUCGUAAACUCCUUUCGACCGAGAUGAAUACCCAUCGACCUAACACGUCGAUGGGCCGACAGUAUCGAGGGAAGAAGCCCCGGCUAACUCCGUGCCAGCAGCCGCGGUAAUACGGGGGGGGCAAGCGUUGUUCGGAAUUACUGGGCGUAAAGGGUUCGUAGGUGGCUUGCUAAGUCAGACGUGAAAUCCCUCAGCUCAACUGGGGAACUGCGUCUGAGACUGGCGAGCUUGAGUGCAGGAGAGGAAUGCGGAAUUCCAGGUGUAGCGGUGAAAUGCGUAGAUAUCUGGAGGAACACCGGUGGCGAAGGCGGCGUUCUGGACUGCAACUGACACUGAGGAACGAAAGCCAGGGGAGCAAACGGGAUUAGAUACCCCCGUAGUCC
rnacentral:rRNA from 1 species